rnacentral:rRNA from 1 species
AUAUGGCGGGCGGAGCUACCAUGCAGUCGAGCGGUAACAGAUCCAGCUUGCUGGAUGCUGACGAGCGGCGGACGGGUGAGUAAUGCAUAGGAAUCUGCCCGAUAGUGGGGGAUAACCUGGGGAAACCCAGGCUAAUACCGCAUACGUCCUACGGGAGAAAGGGGGCUUCGGCUCCCGCUAUCGGAUGAGCCUAUGUCGGAUUAGCUAGUUGGUGAGGUAACGGCUCACCAAGGCCACGAUCCGUAGCUGGUCUGAGAGGAUGAUCAGCCACAUCGGGACUGAGACACGGCCCGAACUCCUACGGGAGGCAGCAGUGGGGAAUAUUGGACAAUGGGGGGAACCCUGAUCCAGCCAUGCCGCGUGUGUGAAGAAGGCCCUCGGGUUGUAAAGCACUUUCAGCGAGGAAGAACGCCUAGCGGUUAAUACCCGCUAGGAAAGACAUCACUCGCAGAAGAAGCACCGGCUAACUCCGUGCCAGCAGCCGCGGUAAUACGGAGGGUGCAAGCGUUAAUU